AUGACUAGAUUGAAGAAUGAAUGCUGGCAGCUGAUCGUACUUGCAGUACUGCAAGAUGAAAAGUUUGGCGUUGGAGUGAAGGGUUUCCCAGCCAGACUUUUAUUGGAAGUUGGUGGUCAUGAAGAGAUCGUACUUCACAGGAAAUCUGAAAAGCUUUUGCUUUGGGGUGUUUUGUGGUGUAGCUUUCAAUAAAUUAAGUAUGAAAGAUCUGUGUGGUUGAAGGGUUUUUGUUUUUCAAAAAGGGUGAAGAACCAAUGUAAAAUCCCAAAUAUCUCCAACAUGAGUGUACAGGGUUUUUUUUUUUUUUUUGAGAAUAUAUAGCAUUUAAACUACAGUUUUCUCAUUAUUAGAGCUCACCUUAGAGAGGAUAACAUUAAGAUUUGCAGUCUCCAAGCCACAUAUCCAGUGUCAUGCCAGC
rnacentral:lncRNA from 1 species